rnacentral:rRNA from 1 species
AUUCAGAGUUUCCACUCCCAAACCCAUGCUACUUAUCUCAUUGUUGCCUCGGCGCAUUCUACCCGGGACCCCGCGCCCCGGGCGGCCCGCCGGCGGACAAACCAAAACUCUUGUUAUCUUAGUUGAUUCUCUGAGCGUCUUAUUUAAUAAGUCAAAACUUUCAACAACGGAUCUCUUGGUUCUGGCAUCGAUGAAGAACGCAGCGAAAUGCGAUAAGUAAUGUGAAUUGCAGAAUUCAGUGAAUCAUCGAAUCUUUGAACGCACAUUGCGCCCAUUAGUAUUCUAGUGGGCAUGCCUGUUCGAGCGUCAUUUCAACCCCUAAGCACAGCUUACUGUUGGGACUCUACGGCUUCGUAGUUCCCCAAAGACAUUGGCGGAGUGGCAGUGGUCCUCUGAGCGUAGUAAUCUUUUAUCUCGCUUCUGUUAGGUGCUGCCCCCCCGGCCGUAAAACCCCCCAUUUUUUCUGGUUGACCUCGGAUCAGGUAGGAAUACCCGCUGAACUUAAGCAUAUCA